rnacentral:rRNA from 1 species
UACGUAGGGCGCAAGCGUUGUCCGGAAUUAUUGGGCGUAAAGAGCUCGUAGGCGGCCAGUUGCGUCCGCUGUGAAAUCCCGGGGCUUAACCCCGGGCGUGCAGUGGAUACGGGCUGGCUGGAGGCAGGCAGGGGGAGAACGGAAUUCCUGGUGUAGCGGUGAAAUGCGCAGAUAUCAGGAGGAACACCGGUGGCGAAGGCGGUUCUCUGGGCCUGUACUGACGCUGAGGAGCGAAAGCGUGGGGAGCGAACAGG